ACCGUCGUCUGUCCGGGAGCGGCUGGAGCGGCAGCGGCGGCCGGGCACGGCGCGAGGUGACGCCACAGGGCAGCGGCGGCAGCGGAGGCAGCGGCGGCAGCAGGAGACGCAGCGGCGGCCGCAGCAGCAGCAGCAAGACGGACUCGUGGAGACGCGCCGCCGCCGCCGCCGCCGGGCCGGGCCGGGUGUCGCGCGCCGAGGCUGGGGGGGAGUCGUCGCCGCCGCCGCCACCGCUACCGCCGCCGCCGCCGCCGCCGAGGUGACUGAGGAGAGAGGCGCCUCCUCGCUCCCGCCACCGCCGGACUUCAAUGCCCAGUCCCCAGCUCGCCAGCGUUUUUCGUUGGAAUAUACGUUGCACAUUUAUGGCGAUUCUGAGUGUGAGGGCAGACUUCUGCCAGGCUCAGCACAGCAUUUUCGCUGACAAGUGAGCUUGGAGGUUCUAUGUGCCAUAAUUAACAUUGCCUUGAAGACUCCUGGACACCGAGACUGGCCUCAGAAAUAGUUGGCUUUUUUUUUUUUUAAUUGCAAGCAUAUUUCUUUUAAUGACUCCAGUAAAAUUAAGCAUCAAGUAAACAAGUGGAAAGUGACCUACACUUUUAACUUGUCUCACUAGUGCCUAAAUGUAGUAAAGGCUGCUUAAGUUUUGUAUGUAGUUGGAUUUUUUGGAGUCCGAAGGUAUCCAUCUGCAGAAAUUGAGGCCCAAAUUGAAUUUGGAUUCAAGUGGAUUCUAAAUACUUUGCUUAUCUUGAAGAGAGAAGCUUCAUAAGGAAUAAACAAGUUGAAUAGAGAAAACACUGAUUGAUAAUAGGCAUUUUAGUGGUCUUUUUAAUGUUUUCUGCUGUGAAACAUUUCAAGAUUUAUUGAUUUUUUUUUUUCACUUUCCCCAUCACACUCACACGCACGCUCACACUUUUUAUUUGCCAUAAUGAACCGUCCAGCCCCUGUGGAGAUCUCCUAUGAGAACAUGCGUUUUCUGAUAACUCACAACCCUACCAAUGCUACUCUCAACAAGUUCACAGAGGAACUUAAGAAGUAUGGAGUGACGACUUUGGUUCGAGUUUGUGAUGCUACAUAUGAUAAAGCUCCAGUUGAAAAAGAAGGAAUCCACGUUCUAGAUUGGCCAUUUGAUGAUGGAGCUCCACCCCCUAAUCAGAUAGUAGAUGAUUGGUUAAACCUGUUAAAAACCAAAUUUCGUGAAGAGCCAGGUUGCUGUGUUGCAGUGCAUUGUGUUGCAGGAUUGGGAAGAAAAAGAAGGGGAGCGUUCAAUUCCAAACAGCUGCUUUAUUUGGAGAAAUACCGACCUAAGAUGCGAUUACGCUUCAGAGAUACCAAUGGGCAUUGCUGUGUUCAGUAGAAGGAAAUGUAAACGAAGGCUGACUUGAUUGUGCCAUUUAGAGGGAACUCUUGGUACCUGGAAAUGUGAAUCUGGAAUAUUACCUGUGUCAUCAAAGUAGUGAUGGAUUCAGUACUCCUCAACCACUCUCCUAAUGAUUGGAACAAAAGCAAACAAAAAAGAAAUCUCUCUAUAAAAUGAAUAAAAUGUUUAAGAAAAGAGAAAGAGAAAAGGAAUUAAUUCAGUGAAGGAUGAUUUUGCUCCUAGUUUUGGAGUUUGAAUUUCUGCCAGGAUUGAAUUAUUUUGAAAUCUCCUGUCUUUUUAAACUUUUUCAAAAUAGGUCUCUAAGGAAAACCAGCAGAACAUUAGCCUGUGCAAAACCAUCUGUUUGGGGAGCACACUCUUCCAUUAUGCUUGGCACAUAGAUCUCCCUGUGGUGGGAUUUUUUUUUUCCCUUUUUUUGUGGGGGAGGGUUGGUGGUAUAUUUUUCCCCUCUUUUUUCCUUCCUCUCCUACAUCUCCCUUUUCCCCCGAUCCAAGUUGUAGAUGGAAUAGAAGCCCUUGUUGCUGUAGAUGUGCGUGCAGUCUGGCAGCCUUAAGCCCACCUGGGCACUUUUAGAUAAAAA
rnacentral:lncRNA from 1 species